UUCCUUCAAAACUGACUUAGAAUGGAGAGACCCAUCCAAAGUAUUCAGGAGGACAGCGGGCUCCAGACGUGUACCCACUGUAUUCAGGGUGUAGAAGCUCCGCCCCAGCAGAGGACAGGGUGGCAUUAGUCUGCUUAGCAAUGAAUUUUUCCCCGGAUGGAUUGGAUUUCACCUGGAGCAUCAAAGAUGAUGUGAAGAACUUUCCAUCCAUCCAAAAGACUGACUCAACAUACAUGAAGAGCAGCCAGCUCACCCUCUCAGCCUCAGAGUGGGCCUCUCAGCCACCCACUUGCACGGUGGAACACAACAAAGUCCAGAAAAGCGUCGAGUUUAAACUCCAAGACCAAAGGAUGAGCCCACCCAGUGUGUAUCUCUUUUGCCCAUCCUGCACUGGCACCUCGGAGAGUGGCACUGUGGAACUCAUCUGCCUGCUGCUGCAUUUCAAGCCCAACUCCUCAGAGGUGCAGUGGCUGUUGAAUGGGGAGGAGUCGACCAAACUCGAGCCCAACCACUUCUCUGCCACCGACCAGGAUGGCUCUUUCAUGGUCCACAGCCUCCUGAGAGUGUCCAGUUCGAGCUGGGAGGGCGGGGAAACGUUCACCUGUAGGGUCACACACCCUGCCCUGAAGGAAGGCCCGGAGCUCGUCAACAUCAGCAAGUGCUCAGCCUGUCUCAGCCAUGUCACUGCGUUGACCCUCUACCUCUUUGCACCCUCCUAUGAUGAGCUGGUCAGCGGGGAUGGGAAGGGCUAUGUGACCUGCCUCGUGCUGGGCUAUGACUUAGCCAGCGUCCACAUCAGCUGGCAAGUGAAUGGACUUGGCAGUGAUGGCCAGACUGGGGUCACAAGGCGUGAAAGCAAUGGAAUGGAGAGCAGGAUGAGCACCCAGCCCAUCUCACUGGCUGACUGGAAGAUUGGAAAGAGGUACAUCUGCAGAGCCAAGCACCCUUGCAUGAAGGAAGUCACUCAGGAGCUGUCCACGUUCAACCCCAUCCUCCCACGUGUGGAAGAUCAUCCCCAUUACAUCCAACUUAGAGUGAAGAGCGCCAGCAGAUGUGGGAUCAGUUUCCAGGGGUGAAUAACCCUGCCUGCCUUCCCCAAUGGGGACCACCCUAUCUCCACCCAAUAUGGCAUCAGCUUUCAAGUGUGAACAACUCUAUCCACUUCAACUC